rnacentral:lncRNA from 10 species
GGCAACCUGCUCGGGUCCUCUUGUACUGUGUAGAAACCUUGUUCUUUCGGUCUUUUGCAAUAAAUCUUGCGGCUGCUCACUCUUUGGGUCCGCACUGCGUUUGUGAGCUGUAACAUUUACCGCGAAGGUCUGCAGCUUCACUCCUGAAGCCAGUGAGAUCACGGACCCACCAGAAGGAAGAAACUCCAAACGCGGCCGAACAUCAGAAGGAACAAACUCUGGACACACCAUCUUUAAGAACUGUAACACUCACCGCACGUGUCCGCGGCUUCAUUCUUGAAGUCAGUGAGACCAAGAACCCACCAAUUCCGGACAGUUUUACCUGGAGGCUGCCAUGAUACUGUUCCAGGAUACAUGUGCAGGAUGUGCAAGUUUGCUACAUGGGUAAAUAUGUGCCAUGGCAGUUUGCUGCAUCUAUUAACCCAUUACCUAGGUAUUAAGCCCGGUAAGCAUUUUUUUUUUCCUGAUGCUCUCCCUCCCCAUCCCCACCACUGACAGACCCCAGUGUGUGUUGUUCCCCUCUCUGUAUCCACGUAUUCUCAUUGUUCAGCUCCCACCUAUAAGUGAGAACAUGUGGUGUUUGGUUUUCUGUUCCUGUGUUAGUUUGCUGAGGAUAAUGGCUUCCAGCUCCAUCUAUGUCCCUGCAAAAGUUGAAGUGUGCAAUAAGAC